UUUUGUUUAACAAACAAACAAACACUGAUUCAAGUAGACACAAAAGGAGGGUAGAGAGAUCACUGUCGAUAGUACAUUAUGACUACUGGAAUACUACUACUCUCCAUUUACAUG